GAAAUAAGCAACUAUCUGACUUUGAGAAGACUUCUGAAGGCACUGAAGACACUGUUGGGUCCUGGAAACCAUACCUACCCUGUCGACCACUCAAGUGCCCAAGCAAUGCAAAGGAUCUUUGCCAGUACUAGUCCAACUUGCAGCAAGGACCCUGACAGCUUGUUCAGUGACAUCCCUGCUGCAACUGAGAGGAUGUUGAGCACACCUGGGUAAGGUCAAGGAAGACUCGUGGGGAGAUAAAGGAGCGUUCAUAUCCUAGGCCAAAGAGAGCCCAGACUAUGGGGGCUGCCGGAGGAGGAAUCUCUGCUACGCUUACAAAGUUAUGCCAUGGAAUGUAAGAAGACAGGAAUGUCUCGGGGGCUGAGACCAAAGAGCCAUCUGGAGCAGCAUUCUGUUCCCAGUGCCUCUGGGAAACUCACAAACAGGCAUAAAUAUGAUGGUCAUCCCCUCCUCAUCCUUAGCAUCUGGUACCCAGAGCUAUACUGCUUCUUUACCUGUUCUCCAGUAACUAUUUUUUUAUAUACUGGGUCCUUCCAGUGUGUUUGCAUAACUUGGGGUGGCUUGCAACAAUUAAAAAAAAAAAUCUGAUAAAUAAAGCAACUGCAUAUAAAAAUG